rnacentral:rRNA from 1 species
ACGUUAGCGGCGGACGGGUGAGUAACGCGUGGGUAACCUACCUAUAAGACUGGGAUAACUUCGGGAAACCGGAGCUAAUACCGGAUAAUAUUUCGAACCGCAUGGUUCGAUAGUGAAAGAUGGUUUUGCUAUCACUUAUAGAUGGACCUGCGCCGUAUUAGCUAGUUGGUAAGGUAACGGCUUACCAAGGCGACGAUACGUAGCCGACCUGAGAGGGUGAUCGGCCACACUGGAACUGAGACACGGUCCAGACUCCUACGGGAGGCAGCAGGG